AUUGAACGCUGGCGGCAUGCCUUACACAUGCAAGUCGAACGGCAGCGCGGGAGCAAUCCUGGCGGCGAGUGGCGAACGGGUGAGUAAUACAUCGGAACGUGCCCAAUCGAGGGGGAUAACGCAGCGAAAGCUGUGCUAAUACCGCAUACGAUCUACGGAUGAAAGCAGGGGAUCGCAAGACCUUGCGCGAAUGGAGCUCCCGUUGGCAGAUUAGGUAGUUGGUGGGGUAAAGGCUAACCAAGCCUUCGAACUGUAGCUGGUCUGAGAGGACGACCAGCCACACUGGAACUGAGAAACGGCCCGGCCUCCUACGGGAGGCAGCGGUGGGAAAUUUUGGACAAGGGGCGAAAGCCUGAUCCAGCCAUGCCGCGUGCAGGAUGAAGGCCUUCGGGUUGUAAACUGCUUUUGUACGGAACGAAACGGUCUUUUCUAAUAAAGAAGGCUAAUGACGGUACCGUAAGAAUAAGCACCGGCUACCUACGU
rnacentral:rRNA from 1 species